GUGGGGAUCAGCUCCGUUCCGAUCUUGGAGCUCUUGUGUUUCUGCUGCUUUCCGUUAAGCACUGGGGUCUCUGCAGCUCUUAGUCCCACGUUGGCCACCAUAGAGGUUCAGAGCACCUAAGACGGAGCCCUAAGACCCUCAGCUCAGCUCCUCUCAUGAGCACACCAAAAUCACAACUGUCUGCAGAACAACCAUCAUGGAAAAAACCUGGAACCUACCAGAAACGAUCUCCUAUAACUAAAUACCUAAAGAAGGAACCACAAUGAGACAGCAAGAUUUUACAACAUGGCAAACCUGAGUACAUCUAACUGGGGCUCAGGUGGGCAGAUUGAGGCAGAGGGAAUGAAUGCCAUCCCUCGUUUCUCUUCCCACACUGCUCCUUCAUCAGCUGCCCCCUGUGACUUCCAGAUGGAUAGUGUAUGUAAACCUGGCCCUACAGCAAGAUUUCAAUGCUGGCUCCAACAUUCAAUAGCUCUCCUUUUGGCCAGAGGCAUCCAGUGCUUUGGGGAAGCUUAGGACUGUUAAAACAGAAUGAAAAGAGAAAGAUCCAAUGUUCAGCUUUUGAAUUCCAAAAUAGGACUUCUGAUCUGCAGUAAGAUAAUUGUCUCAAAAGAUGGGGUUUUUUUGGAUAAACUUUUGAAUUGAGUAUAACUUACUGACAAAAAAAUGCGCAAAUCAUGUGUCCAGCUUGAUACAUUUUUACAAAGUGAACACACUUGUGCAAACAUUAUCUAGAUCAAGAUAAAGAGCAUUACCAGCACCCCAGAGUUUCCCUGGCCCUUCCAGUCAUUACUCUCCAUAGAACUUAACCUCUAGUCUUAACUUAUAUCACCAUAGAUUCGUUUUGCCUAUGUUUGAACUUUACAUAAAAUGACUCACUCAGUAUGUGAUUUUAAUGUCUGGCUUCUUCCUCUCAAAAUUAGGUUUGAGAUUUAUCCAUAUUAUUAGUGUUCAAUUUGUACAAUUUAAUUAAUAUAUAAUGUUUCAUUUUAUAAAUAUACCACAGUUUAUUUCUCAAACAGUGAAUGAAAAUUCCAGACGGCAAUACUUAAAAUUGUGACUUUUUUCCAUUUUAGCUAUUUUGUUGGGUGCAUAGUGAAUGGUAUCUUACUGUGGUUUUCAUUUGCAGUUCCCUAGUGACAAAUGAUGUUGACCACUUUUCACAUAUUUAUUGUCAUUUAUAUAUCUUCCUUUAUAAAAUGCUUAUUC